AUACGUAGGGGGCAAGCGUUAUCCGGAUUUACUGGGUGUAAAGGGAGCGUAGACGGUUCAGCAAGUCUGAAGUGAAAUCCCAGGGCUCAACCCUGGAACUGCUUUGGAAACUGUUGAACUAGAGUGUAGGAGAGGUAAGUGGAAUUCCUAGUGUAGCAGUGAAAUGCGUAGAUAUUAGGAGGAACACCAGUGGCGAAGGCGGCUUACUGGACUGUAACUGACGUUGAGGCUCGAAAGCGUGGGGAGC
rnacentral:rRNA from 1 species